rnacentral:rRNA from 1 species
AGUGAACGCUGGCGGUAGGCCUAACACAUGCAAGUCGAACGGCAGCACAGUAAGAGCUUGCUCUUACGGGUGGCGAGUGGCGGACGGGUGAGGAAUACAUCGGAAUCUACUUUUUCGUGGGGGAUAACGUAGGGAAACUUACGCUAAUACCGCAUACGACCUACGGGUGAAAGCAGGGGAUCUUCGGACCUUGCGCGAUUGAAUGAGCCGAUGUCGGAUUAGCUAGUUGGCGGGGUAAAGGCCCACCAAGGCGACGAUCCGUAGCUGGUCUGAGAGGUUGAUCAGCCACACUGGAACUGAGACACGGUCCAGACUCCUACGGGAGGCAGCAGUGGGGAAUAUUGGACAAUGGGCGCAAGCCUGAUCCAGCCAUACCGCGUGGGUGAAGAAGGCCUUCGGGUUGUAAAGCCCUUUUGUUGGGAAAGAAAAGCAGCAGGUUAAUACCCCGCUGUCCUGACGGUACCCAAAGAAUAAGCACCGGCUAACUUCGUG